rnacentral:lncRNA from 1 species
GCUAAUACGAGCCUUGCAAAUCACAGUGGAGAGCUACUGAGAGGACGUUAAGUAGCAGAAGCUAUGUCUGUGCAGCUUAUCUGUUGGAGAAGUCUGCGGCCAUCCCUUGAUUUGGAAGUCUUCUGCCUGGACUUGUGGCUUGGGACUGCAGAAUCAGGAUUGGGCUGGACUGUUUUGCUUUUUUUUUAAAUCAGGAAAGACUUGGCUAUUGUGUUUUGGAUAAAACAAUAUGGAGGCUGUGUCUUUGAGAUGACUAAUAACAGGUUAGCAGACAGCCAUCCAGUUCACCACCCAUUCUCCUUUCUUUGGGAAGCAGCACCCUGAUUUACUCUGAUAAACCAUCAUCCUUCAAUCACUCUUAAUCCAUGUGGUUCUGUGUGGGGGUCUCCAUCCUCAGCCCCAAAGGCUGGGCUCUGGGCUAACCAAUCAGAGCCAUCCAUCUCCUUCCUUGGCCAUGGCAAUUGGUUGCUAGGUUAGCCAAUGACCAAAGUGGGAUGAUGGAGUGAAUCUUGAAUCUUGGCUGAAGAAUCCUGAGAAGGGGAAGCUCCUUUUGCCCUGGGGUGGCUAGCAUGGUGCUGCCAAAUUUAUCAUUGUGACCUCAUCACCUCAGAUUGAUGCCCACUCAGAGUAAAGUAGAGGUGAGGGACAGAGACAGAUUUCUGAUGCUAUUGUUGGAGCACCUGGAUAAAGCCCUGCUUGAAAUUAGAAGCCCUCCUGGACUUGUUUACAUGAUUAGAUUCUAUCCUUUUCGAUUGAGAAUGAGCUGGCUUUCCAUCACUUGAAAUGGAAAUAGUCCUGAUUAAUUCAGUGGUCCAGCUGGUGAAUUCAGCCAACUGGUCAAUUCUGUGACCAAAGGAAAAUGUGCUUAUAAAAACGACACAGAAAUGGAGAGCAGGAAGUGGGAACAGCAUGAAAAUUCCCCUCAGUGAUUCCUCCUAUGGGCAUCUCACUUCCCAGAGAUGGAGGGAUCAGUGGCUUGGCCAUGAGUAAACAGAGAUGGGGCCAAGUGAGUUUCGUUGUCAAUGUAAGGAGAAAAGCAACAGCAAAUGAAGAUGCUAAAAUGAAAAUCAAGAAUGGCUGGCCUGGGAGACAGCACGCUCAUGUUUUGUUCAAC